rnacentral:rRNA from 1 species
UCGGGUCAGCGACUGGGGUGAAGACGUAACAAGGUAGCCGUAGGUGAACCUGCAGAAGGAUCA